GAAGGGUUGAGGCAGAGAGAGAAAAGAGCAUUCAAGCAAGAGAUAUUGAAGAGAGUUAGGCAUGCUUCUGUUUCUGAUGCUGAAGCAGCUACCAUUGUAGCUGAGGUUUUGUGGGGUUCUUCCCCUUGACAUUAUAAAAAAAAAAAAAAAAAAAAAGGGUAAUCUGAUACUAUCUUAUUUUAGUGAUUUGUAGUUAAAAAGAAAAUUCUUUUGUUGUAAAUCUUAGAUGCAUGUGUUUAGUUGUAUUGAAUAAAUAAAUUGGAUUCUUGAUUGGAAUUUUUUUUUUUUUUUUCUAUUAUAAUGUCAAGGGGAAGAACCCCACAAAACCUCAGCUACAAUGGUAGCUGCUUCAGCAUCAGAAACAGAAGCAUGCCUAACUCUCUUCAAUAUCUCUUGCUUGAAUGCUCUUUUCUCUCUCUGCCUCAACCCUUCCCCAACUUCUAGCUGUACUGCAAAUCUUGCUACACAGCUUGCAAAUGGAUGGAUUUCUAAGAACCUCUUUUCCCUGCUCUCUCGCCUCUCUAUCUUGUCUUCAGCACUGUUCCCGUUAGCAGUUUCUUUCCCAUCAAAUCUACCCAUGUCAAUCAAAUCACCACCAAGCUCUGAUCUUUGCAAAUCUACAAGCUUCUUUAUCAAACCUUCUUUGAGCAUAGCUUCUAUUGCCUCUUUGAGGCCAAAAUACCCAAUUUCAAGAAUGCAAUC
rnacentral:misc_RNA from 1 species